AACGAACGCUGGCGGCAGGCUUAAUACAUGCAAGUCGAACGCACCCUUCGGGGUGAGUGGCAGACGGGUGAGUAACGCGUGGGAAUCUACCCAAUACUACGGAAUAGCUCCGGGAAACUGGAAUUAAUACCGUAUGUGCCCUACGGGGGAAAGAUUUAUCGGUAUUGGAUGAGCCCGCGUUGGAUAGCUAGUUGGUGGGGUAAUGACCUACCAAGGCGACGAUCCAUAGCUGGUCUGAGAGGAUGAUCAGCCACACUGGGACUGAGACACGGCCCAGACUCCUACGGGAGGCAGCAGUAGGGAAUAUUGGACAAUGGGCGAAAGCCUGAUCCAGCCAUGCCGCGUGAGUGAUGAAGGCCUUAGGGUUGUAAAGCUCUUUCAGUGGGGAAGAUAAUGACGGUACCCACAGAAGAAGCCCCGGCUAACUUCGUGCCAGCAGCCGCAGUAACAC
rnacentral:rRNA from 1 species